GGUAAGCAGACCAUUAUUCUGCAUUGACUAUUCUAAAUCAAGGGUGUUCAACGUCUUAUUAACCCACAGAACGCUAAAAUUAAUUAAUUAAAUACAUAGUGACAACUUCCAUUUCUAUAAAGGUACAGGAAAUAUGGUAUGGUUUAUGGAACAAAUAUGAGGAAAUAUUUGUGAAAGUCUGAGUUUGGCAACUCCACCCGUGUCCUGACGAGGAGCGGUUUUGGCUGGGUUGAAACACCCGAGAAUUGAGACAUCUUAAAAACAAAAAGGUUAAGUUAAGGUUAAUAAGGGUAAGUCCUCCAUAGUAGAGGUAAGUCCCCCGGGGUAAGUCCUCCAUAGUAGAGGUAAGUCCCAGGUAAUUGUAGGGGUAAGUCCUCCAUAGUAGAGGUAAGUCCCCUGGGGUAAGUCCUCCACAGUAGAGGUAAGUCCCCAAAGGAGUUGAAGUCUCCUAGGUAUGACUGGUGAACGAUUGUAUUAUUGAACCAUUUCACACUAUUUAGGUGAUAUGACAAAAUAAUCCAAUGUUCACAUGACUUGUUGGUUUUGGUGUCAGACAAUUGAGCUAGUUCGAUUGUCCAAAGGCUGAGAACCAGGGUAUAGCGAGCCAUAGAUCUCAGCUGGCCAAAAUCAUAGGGAAACUUGAUUUUGGUGUCAAAUAGGAAUAUUACUUUCCUGUUUAAGGGUUGAGAACCAGGGACAUAGUGUCCCAUAAAUCUCAACUGGCCACAAUCAAGGUUUAAAAAAAAAAAAAAAUGAAAUGAAAAAUUGACUCAUCCAAAUUAAGGGUAAUGCAUGAAUGACCAAUGUGUAUGAAUGCUAAAUAGAAGCAAUUGAAGCAGCAGCACUGCCUGAAACCUGACGGUGUUAACAUAAAGCAGUGGACUGUUGAAGUAAAUUGUGGAUAUUUAGAUCGAGGGAUUUCUGUGUGGCAAUUUAGAAGUAUUGAGUGUGUGGCAGUUUUGGAUAAAUAUUUCUGGCAAAAUUAAUAAGCAUAUUUUGGCAAUCUCAUAAAGACCAGUGUUACUAGUUAAGGAAAUGGACGGAGAAUUUGAUAGAGAAAUAGAUGACGGGGGGUGGGGAAUUAAAGGACCAUAUAAGCCAGUUGGGGAGCAGUUAGAAGUAAUGGAAAAAGCAGUGAACGCGGCCUAUGGGACAGGGAAGGAGGCAGAGGAUAUGAUGAUACAAAUGAGGAAAGAUGUUAAUCAGAUACUGACCCAUCAGGGGGAAAUUGCUAAAUGCACAGAUCCACUGUUAGCAGCAUUUUGGAGACAGGAAAAGAGAGCAGGUCAGGAUCAGGAAGAAGCACAGAAAGAUGUGAAAACAGGCAGUUGGCUAAAAAAGGGAGAAGCCAAGGAUA